UCCGGCUCCAGGCCCUUGAAGAUGGCGAGUCUCUCCGAGAAGCUUUUGGCUUGUGGGAAGAGGAUGUAGUUGUAGAUGAUGGAGGCGGCUGCCGCCCCGACCAGGGGGCCCACCCAGAAGACCUGGGGAAAAGGGAAUUGGGUGAGCAAAAGCCAGCGUGAGUUUGGAGGAUGGAGAGGAACCGGGGCCCCUGAGCAGCAUGGCAAGGAGUUUAUUCUGUGUGUGCUGGGAGCAAAAUGCAGCAGCUCUGCUUUGGCCAUCGCUGCUGACCUGAACUCCCAUCUGAACAUACCGAACCAUCCCCUUCUGACCUUUCUCCUCUGAGAGCUGCCUGACCUUCAUUAAUGACGGGCCCAUCACAAGCAUGCUUAAUUAUUUGGGUUCCCCUGAAGAAGCAUCUUCCAACCUGUUUACACGGUGCUAAGGGGACGAGGAGGGUACCAGCUCGGGCUGGGUCCCUCUGAGCACAUCAGCCUGAGCCCCCACAGCUCUAGCUCCCAACGUGCUCUUUGGAGAUGGAGAUGCCUGGGAGAGUGUCCUGGGUGCAAAACAUGUACCCAGGUCCAGCUGGAGCCAGGAAGGUGCCCCGGACCGGCACGAAGAGCUCCACACACCGUCGGUUUUGCUUCUUUUGCUAAGUCAUGACCAACAACCCACACGCCCUUCUCCUGUUGCAACGCGGCCCGCUCAGAUAAGCCAUCUCAGCGGCCCCGCCUGGUUCUGCUAAUCUCGACAUCGCUCCCUCAGCUGGGAGCUGCUGUGGAAAUGCCAGGAAUCUGGUUGGCUCUGGGGAUUUCUAGGAACACUGGUAACUGAGGGGGUUCAUCCCACCAAAACCAACGCAUAGACCUGACGUCUUACCCAGUGGUCACUGAAGUCUCCGACUAUCACAGCAGGGGCGAAAGACCUGGCCGGAUUCAUGGAGCAGCCGGUGUAACGGAUCUGCCGAGAAACACCACUUUAUUGUUAGCAUUAAGCCCUUUUAGCACAUUUUAACGAAUCCUGGUGUGUUAUUAGCGUGAUUCAUGCACCCGGCCAAUGUUUCGCCCUCCAGCGUUGCCCAUUCCAGGAAGAUGGAUGCCGGCAGCCUCCAGCACCUGAGUCAAGGAAAGCCAUGGGCACCCUGAGUUACACCCCCCCGUCCACCCCGAAGCAGCCAGCCAAGCAAACUUUGGGCACAAAGGCAAAAAAGCCCCAGAAAGCGCUGGUUUGGCCCAUUCUACCCACCCCAAGGAGAUGCCCCACGGCAACAGAAAGGCCGAUGGAGAGGGCAGGGGAGCCCAGGUUGUCCUCCCGGCGCUCGUCGGUGGAAGCGAAGAUGCACAGGACCAGCUGGAAGGUGAGGAAGAGCUCGACCGUCACCGCCUGCCCUGUCGUCGUCUCGUUGUGCAGCUGGAACGGGGGAAAAAACGUGUCUUGUGGACGGAGAGGGUUGGGGACGGGUUUGGAAAUGUGGAGGGGACACCCAGAGACCUGGGUCUUGCUGAUAUUCCCCUAUUUCUUUUAAUUAUUUUAAGGGUAAUUUGUGCAGGCAGCAACACGAUGAACAGCCCAUAGGGGAAAAAAUAUUAAAAUCCUUAUUCCCUCUUUUAAGUGGUUUAAGCUGUAAAACAACAGAGCUGGGUGUUUUGAAAGUCUCUCUUAAAACUCCUACUUGCUUUGUUGGGUUUAUUAAACCCCAGCUAUUAUCGGUCUAAA